rnacentral:misc_RNA from 1 species
UCCCCGUUACCGGGGCAGUCUGAUUAGAAAAAUACAACUAAUCAUAAGGGUUGCGCUCGUUGAUGGACUUAACCAAACAUCUCACGACACGAGCUGACGACGGCCAUGCAACACCUGUCAUUGGGUUCCCGAAGGCACUCACGUCUUUCGACAUAAUUCCCAAGAUGUCAAGCCUUGGUAAGGUUCUUCGCUUACCAUCGAAUUAAACAACACGCUCCACCGCUUGUGCGGGUCCCCGUCAAUUCCUUUGAGUUUUAGUCUUGCGACCGUACUCCCCAGGCGGGAUGCUUAACGCGUUAGCUUCGCUACUACUCGGGUCGAUACGAAUAACAGCUAGCAUCCAUAGUUUACGGCGUGGACUAC